rnacentral:rRNA from 1 species
CCUACGGGUGGCAGCAGUGAGGAAUAUUGGUCAAUGGACGAGAGUCUGAACCAGCCAAGUAGCGUGAAGGAUGACUGCCCUAUGGGUUGUAAACUUCUUUUAUAUGAGAAUAAAAUGUUCCACGUGUGGGAUUUUGUAUGUACCAUAUGAAUAAGGAUCGGCUAACUCCGUGCCAGCAGCCGCGGUAAUACGGAGGAUCCGAGCGUUAUCCGGAUUUAUUGGGUUUAAAGGGAGCGUAGGUGGAUUGUUAAGUCAGUUGUGAAAGUUUGCGGCUCAACCGUAAAAGUGCAGUUGAAACUGGCAGUCUUGAGUACAGGAGAGGUGGGCGGAAUUCGUGGUGUAGCGGUGAAAUGCUUAGAUAUCACGAAGAACUCCGAUUGCGAAGGCAGUUCACUGGACUGCAACUGACGCUGAGGCUCGAAAGUGUGGGUAUCAAACAGGAUUAGAUACCCGAGUAGUC